rnacentral:rRNA from 1 species
ACUACGGGUGGCAGCAGUGAGGAAUAUUGGUCAAUGGGCGCGAGCCUGAACCAGCCAAGUAGCGUGAAGGAUGACUGCCCUACGGGUUGUAAACUUCUUUUAUAAAGGAAUAAGGUGAGGCACGUGUGCCUUUUUGUAUGUACUUUAUGAAUAAGGAUCGGCUAACUCCGUGCCAGCAGCCGCGGUAAUAAGGAGGAUCCGAGAGUUAUCCGGAUUUAUUGGGUUUAAAGGGAGCGUCGAUUGGUUGUUAAGUCAGUUGUGAAAGUUUGCGGCUCAACCGUAAAAUUGCAAUUGUUACUGGCAGUCUUGAGUACAGUUGAGGUAGGCGGAAUUCGUGGUGUAGCGGUGAAAUGCUUAGAUAUCACGAAGAACUCCGAUUGCGAAGGCAGCUUACUAAACUGCCACUGACAUUGAUGCUCGAAAGUGUGGGUAUCAAACAGGAUUAGAUACCCGAGUAGUC